AGUAAACAUGGCUUUCAUGUUGAGGGAACCUUGGUGAAGGGGUGAAGUCAGGCAUUGACUAAGCCUGUGAAUCCCCUUCCAUGCAUGGAUUCUGGAUUUGAGUGUCUCGAAUCUAAGAAUUGCCUACAGAGAUGGAUCAGUUCCUGUUUAGUGAAGGGACAAGAAUCAAGGUACCUGCCCUGACUCACUCUCAUGGAGUUGACUCUUGCUCACAGCUGAAAAGGAACCUGGAUUUGUUUCCUCCCAAGUCAAGGGAGAGACACAGACCCUCUGAGGAGCACCGAUUGAGCUCCUGUAGUAUCUUAUGUUUCUCAGGAGCCCCUUACAUGUGUGCCUUGACAGAUGCUGCAGGAGAGAUCAACAAGAAUUUUCCAGUCUUCCCCGAGGACCAGGGGUUUUUCCAGAAGGUGGCAGUCCAUUGUAUGGCUCUAGGAUUUGUGUUACAUUUCAAUGAACUUUUACCUUAC